CCUGCAGCUGUCCAUAUAAUAAUUAGUGUUUUGUUUUCAGGAGAAAUAAAUCUGUUGAAUGGGAUGAAAAGAUGAUUCCUAUUAAGAAUUCUGAGAUGAUAGCUGAGAGUGAAAAGCCUGCCGAUAUGUGGCCAAAACGAAGAAAGAGUGAUCUUCUGAUCUACCAACAGACAAGAAACCUAUAAUAAUAUAUUAAUCAGUAUCAUGAUUUUGGCACAGUUCUCGAUAGAGAUGGGCAUGUUCGGCAAUUUUAACCAGUUGUUCAGAAAA